GCCUGGAUAGCUCAGUUGGUUAGAGCGGGGUACUGAUAAUGCCAAGGUUGCAGGUUUUGUCUCUGUAUGGGACAACUGCAUAUUCCUGCAUUGCAGGGCA